rnacentral:misc_RNA from 1 species
AACGCACCUUGCGCUCCUUGGUAUUCCGAGGAGCAUGCCUGUUUGAGUGUCAUAUAAUUCUCAACCUUAUUAGCUUUUGCUGAUUAAUGGCUUGGAUGUGGGGGUUCUCUUUUGCCGGCUUCUUCAGAGGUCAGCUCCCCUUAAAUGCAUUAGCUGGUGCCCCGCGUGGACUGUCUAUUUGGUGUGAUAAUUAUCUACGCCGUGGAUAUCUGCAAUGGGUUGUGCACUGCUUAUAACCGUCUGUUCAUUUGGACAAUACAUGACAAUUUGACCUCAAAUCAGGUAGGACUACCCGCUGAACUUAA